UACGGAGGGGGCAAGCGUUAUCCGGAAUCACUGGGUUUAAAGGGUGCGUAGGCGGUGGUGUAAGUCAGGUGUGAAAUUCCCUCGCUUAACGAGUGGGACUGCGAUUGAUACUGCCACGCUUGAAUCAGGAUGAGGUAGGCGGAAUGCGGCAUGUAGCGGUGAAAUGCUUAGAUAUGGCAUAGAACACCGAUGGCGAAGGCAGCUUACUGGCCCUGUAUUGACGCUGAGGCACGAAAGCUUGGGGAGCAAAAAGG
rnacentral:rRNA from 1 species